UUGAACGCUGGCGGCAUGCUUUACCCCUGCAAGUCGAACGGUAACAGGCCUUCGGGUGCUGACGAGUGGCGAACGGGUGAGUAAUGCAUCGGAACGUACCCAGAGGUGGGGGAUAACGCAGCGAAAGCUGUGCUAAUACCGCAUGUGAUCUGAGGAUGAAAGCGGGGGACCGAGCAGCAAUGUUUGGCCUCGCGCCUUCGGAGCGGCCGAUGUCGGAUUAGCUAGUUGGUGGGGUAAAGGCCUACCAAGGCGACGAUCCGUAGCUGGUCUGAGAGGACGACCAGCCACACUGGGACUGAGACACGGCCCAGACUCCUACGGGAGGCAGCAGUGGGGAAUUUUGGACAAUGGGCGCGAGCCUGAUCCAGCAAUGCCGCGUGCGGGAAGAAGGCCUUCGGGUUGUAAACCGCUUUUGGCAGGAACGAAACGGUGUCCGCUAAUACCGGGCGCUAAUGACGGUACCUGCAGAAUAAGCACCGGCUAACUACGUG
rnacentral:rRNA from 1 species